AAUAUAGUAAAGGGUCAUGGGCCAAAUUUGGCCAAAAAUAAAAAGUAGAGAAUGCUCCAUUUUAAUAAUUUCCUUAUGUCACGUAGAAAGUUUAGCUGAUUCCAACCAAGUUUGUAUUUUUUACAAUUUUUAAAAGUUGCUCCAAAUAGGGCCACAUUUGGUACUGUAUACAAGGGCGUAGGGGAGAAAAAAAGAAAGGGGUAGGCUACGGGGAGAAAAGGGCGUGUGAAGCGCACUGCCGAUUUGGCCACGCCCACUUUUACAGCCGUGAAAUGGGCGUGUUCUCGCAAGAUGGAGUGUUCUUCCAUGGUUCUUCACUCUCAGACUCAGAUGAGGACUCAGGCAAGACUCAAGGUAGCAGCACAAUCAACAAAAUCAUCAUUCACAGGAUCAUCAUCUUCAAUCUCCUCAUGCUCAUCUUCAGUACAAAUAGUCUAUAUGGCUGGGGUUGACUACUAAUAUACUCAACUAAAAUUUGCAUAAAAAUUAACAAAGCUUUUGUUUCUUUGCAGCUGACAUUGUGAUAAUGUGAUGGCUUCACUUUUUAUUAAGCUAGCUAAUUAAUUAAGUUAAUUAAUUAUGUAAAGACUCCACCUUUAAUAAUUGUGCUAAAAUGGCUGGUUUUCUUUUCUUUCUGUCUCUGUUUGCUCUGUCUCUGUUUGCCUGUGUCAAAAGUGACUGAGUGACUAAGGCAGAAACUCAAUAUAGGUAAACUACUAAACUUCAAUUCUGACUUCUGAACUUUAGGGUAGGCUAUAGCCUACCCUAGCCUUAUGCUAGCUACGCCCUUGACUGUAUAUGUAGGUAAGGAUGAUUCAGGCAAUUCAAAAAAUCUGUUACAUUUUCUGAUGCAUAACAAAACACAUGUGCUGAUACAAUCUCUCUCUCUCUCUCGUACUUUGCAUUUCUGUCCGAGGAGUUUUGGGUCUCUCAGUUGAUCUACUACUUUAGCCGCAGCCUCACGAGUUUCCAUGACAACA